rnacentral:rRNA from 1 species
AUACGGAGGGUCCGAGCGUUAUCGGGAAUCAUUGGGUUUAAAGGGUCCGUAGGCGGGAAUCUAAGUCAGUGGAGAAAUCUUGCAGCUCAACUGUAAAAUUGCCAUUGAUACUGGAUUUCUUGAAUUAGUGUGAAGUGGUUAGAAUGUGUAGUGUAGCGGUGAAAUGCAUAGAUAUUACACAGAAUACCAAUUGCGAAGGCAGAUCACUAACACUAUAUUGACGCUAAGGGACGAAAGCGUGGGGAGCGAACAGGAUUAGAUACCCCGGUAGUCC